rnacentral:lncRNA from 1 species
GUUUGACUGUUCCCAGCUGCCCUCAAGUUUAAAUCCACCAUGAUCCUGCCAAAGCUGAAAUGCCUGCUCCCUGCUCACUCCCAGAUGCCAGACUCAUCAACAAAGGCCCACUUGUUCCUUGGGAUUUGUGUCUUGAUGCAUUCUCAAAGAGAGGUUUCCAGGGCACCAGUCACCUGCAGCUCACCUGAAGAUGGCACAUGGCAUGUCGCUGUGCCCCCCUCCCCAUCCAUGUGCUCUACCUGGCAACUUGUUUCUCCCCACCUGAAAGUUGACCUGAGAUGAAACUUGCUAAGGCCUCCUAAGACGAUGUUGCUGGAUGUCCCCUGCUGACCCCACAGACUGGCUCCUCUGGUGUCCGCUGACUUGGCCUGGUGAGAAGGGCAGGGCCAGGCCCUUCCCUGUCUCGACCUGCAUUCCCACCCAACACAGCAAG